AUUGAACGCUGGCGGCAGGCCUAACACAUGCAAGUCGAGCGGCAGCGGAAAGUAGCUUGCUACUUUGCCGGCGAGCGGCGGACGGGUGAGUAAUGUCUGGGAAACUGCCUGAUGGAGGGGGAUAACUACUGGAAACGGUAGCUAAUACCGCAUAACGUCGCAAGACCAAAGAGGGGGACCUUCGCGCCUCGUGCCAUCAGAUGCGCCCAGAUGUGGAUUAGCUAGUAGGGGGGGUAAGGGCUCACCUAGGCGACGAUCCAGAGCGGGUCUGAGGGGAGGACCAGCCACACUGAAACUGGGACACGUUCAGACCUCCUCCGGGGGUCCGCAGUGGGGAAAAUGGCAAAAUGGGCGAAGGCCUGAGGCGGCCAUGCCGGGUUUAUGAAGAAGGCCUUGGGGUUGUAAAGUACUUUCAGCGGGGAGAAAGGCAUGUUGUUAAUAACCACCGCGAUUGACGUUACCCGCAGAAGAAGCACCGGCUAACUCCGUGCCAGCAGCCGCAGUAA
rnacentral:rRNA from 1 species